rnacentral:rRNA from 1 species
AAGAUGGUGAACUAUGCCUGAAUAGGGCGAAGCCAGGGGAAACCCUGGUGGAAGCCCGCAGCGAUUCUGACGUGCAAAUCGAAUCGUCAAAUUUGGGUAUAGGGGCGAAAGACUAAUCGAACCGUCUAGUAGCUGGUUCCCUCCGAAGUUUCCCUCAGGAUAGCUGGAGCCCGGUGCAGUUUUAUCAGGUAAAGCGAAUGAUUAGAGGUCUUGGGGUCGAAACGUCCUCAACCUAUUCUCAAACUUUAAAUGGGUAAGAAGUCUGGCUUGCUCGAUUGAAGUCGGACGUGGAAUGCCGGGGCUCCUAGUGGGCCAUUUUUGGUAAGCAGAACUGCGCGAUGUGGGAUGAACCGAAAGCCGGGUUAAGGUGCCCGAAUCGACGCUCAGCAGAUACCAGG